GUGUUCUUUUUGUUACGUUUGGGUUUCUUCCUACACUCUAUCGCAAGUUGGCUGAGGUAUUUUCGCUUUGGGAAUUCGCUUUUGUUGGCAGUGAUUUUGGGACAGUGGUCAAAUAUUUCGAAAAGAAAUUUGAGGCUCCCAUUCACCUACCUCCUACUUUGGUCGCCGUUUUCGGUCCAAUGUUGGGUUUAUGUUCAUG
rnacentral:lncRNA from 1 species